rnacentral:piRNA from 1 species
UGAUAUCACGGUUUAGAUACUGCUCAC